AUCUCAGGAUUGAGCUGAUGGCCCACCGCGAGGCGAGCUGCCGUCUGUCCCAGCCCCUGCCUCUCGGCGCCCCCUCGAUGCUCUUAGCUGACUGUCCCGCGGGGUCCAACGCAUUUACUUUGAAAAAAUUAGAGUGUUCAAAGCAGCCCCGGUCACCUGAAUACCCCAGCUAGGAAUAAUGGAAUAGGAUUCUGGUUCUAUUUUGUGGGUUUUCUUCUCUGAACUGGGUCAUGAUUAAGAGGGACUGCCGGGGGCAUUCGUAUUGUGCUGCUAGAGGUGAAAUUCUUGGACUGGCGCAAGACGGACAAAAGCGAAAGCAUUUGCGAAGAAUGUUUUCAUUAAACAAGAAUGAAAGUCGGAGGUUCCAAGACGAUCAGAUACCGUUCUAGUCUACAACCAUCAGAUC